rnacentral:rRNA from 1 species
AAAACUUUCAACAACGGAUCUCUUGGUUCUGGCAUCGAUGAAGAACGCAGCGAAAUGCGAUAAGUAAUGUGAAUUGCAGAAUUCAGUGAAUCAUCGAAUCUUUGAACGCACAUUGCGCCCGGCAGUAAUCUGCCGGGCAUGCCUGUCCGAGCGUCAUU